UGCCAUUUUGUGCUAUGUGUUUAUGAUAGGAAAUAUUCCCAGCAUUGACUAUGAUAGAAUCAAACUAUCAAUCAAUUCUGAACGUGUCCUGCAGCGUCAAAUAUUCAGCCAAGAUGUAAUUAUUUACACAAGGAAUGUGCACACCCAUAUUGCUGUUAUGAGAAUCCGCCUUUGUCUUCGGUAAAUGGCUGGGGGACAGGUCUCCUGCAGACUCUUCCAAGACCAUCCUCACUCACAGACCUGACAGAGGCUGCGGGUCAAUAGACAGGCCUUGAGAAGCCAGGAGCCACAUCUGUGCAGUUAUCAUCUGCAACACGCAGUUCAGUUCACAGGUCAGCAGCAGCAGCAGCAGCCCAGUCCGCUCGAAAACACCUCAGGGAUUCAGCAGCAGUCCAGUUCGGUAGAGUCUGGUUAGCAACAGUGGUGACUCGACCUAGCAGAGACAGCCAGACCUCAGCCUCAGCUUGAGUCAGAAGGAAGGGCCUGGAGGGACACCAGGAGAAGUUCUCAGCUGUGCCUCUCUCAGGGAAGCAAAGAUCAGUGAAGACAUGAGACCUACAAGCAUGGCACAGCUAGUUGUACCAGCAAGCCAAGCUCUGUCUCCAUUACUCUGUGGAGUCCUAUUUAUACCCUCCAAACAUCAUGUGUCCUCCAUAUGCCUUGUCUCAGCACAUGCAUCCAACCAGGCCACGUCCAAGGAAGCAGCAACAAACUGCAGUACACCACCAGAAGUUUUCCGGUGGUUUUCUCUCUAUGGUGUCCAAACAAAUGCAGUUCAACUACACAAUGUAAGG
rnacentral:lncRNA from 1 species